rnacentral:sRNA from 1 species
UAUAGCAUGCAUGGCUCCCUGAAUCUCCCUUGCUUGUUUAUUUACCAGCUUACCGUUUGGGCGUCUGUCCCUCUUUGACUCAACACUUUCCCCUGCAUUUAUUCAUACCCAUGUAAGGGCCCUGACAGCGGGAGACUUUCCUAUCUUGUUCCCUCUUGAAUAAGUGCACAGCACUUAGUAGAAGCUCAAUAAAUAUUUGGUGAAAUGCAGAUGAAGGGAAGAGAAGUCAAUAUUCCUAUUGUCAAUCACGUUCUAGAGAAGCAGUCUUGGGGAGGGAGAAUAAACACAGGAAGAGCUUUGAUGGGUAGAGGGGGAGCUCUGUUGCUGGGGAGAGCCUGAGAGCCAAGAUUCAGGAUUUAGGGUUGGGGAUUUAGGUCUCUUGCCCUGGAGGAAGCCUUGUCUGACGUCUGCUGGUAGAAGGUGGCUUGCCUCUUUGGGGGCCUUCAGUUAAGCAGAGGCAGCCCAGAAAGGGACAGGCUCAGGAGGUCAGAGCUGGCUCCAGAGACCCCUGGGCUAGAGCUGUUAUUGCCUGUCGUCUUAAAGGACUCUGAGUUGACGCUAAGUCCUAACUUUUUCCUGUGAAGUAGACCUUGGCCAUCUCCACCAUCUGGGGAGAAAGACAGGAGCAGGCAGUGGCUACAGCAGCGGCAGCUAGGAGUUCUGCCACCCUGACCCAGGGAAGGACCAGAGUGGGAAAGCCAGAGGAGAGGACUGAUGGUUGAAUUGCUGCCAACCUUGGGGAGGGUGUCAAAAAGAUGAGGUGGGUCUACCUCACGUGGGUAAGGGUUCAGUGCUUCACAUGCGAGCUGUUCACGGAAAUUCUGUCUCCUUUACACCCCCAGGUUGGUGAGAAGACACUUCUACGUGCUACGUUUUAUAGAUUGUUUUCUGAGGGCUAUGCGUGGAAGUCAAGGGGUAGCAGCCAGGUGUGUCUUACUUAGUGAAUUAGAUUCCAUAAGACAAACUCGAGAAAACAGCAACAAACCACUGAACUGAAAACGUACAAACCCCCUCGGAGAAGUCUGUAUUAAAGUAAACGUGAAGCCAUUCCUAUCUGUUAGCAGCAGCGUAACUAAGACCACGAGAAGCGCCCAGAGUGAUUGGUAUCUAGGCUUUGAGAAUUUCACCUCUGCCGAUCAAGAAGAAGAAAGGGAUUGGAGAAUUACUUUUGUUUGUUUGUUUGUUUCUUACUUGCAGAGAGACAUCUAACAUAUUUUGCAUAACUUAGCUGGGGCUAAGAAUCUUAACACUCUGAAAGGCCCUGGGGCGUUUUUGCCAAUCUGGGCUAGACAGAUAUGUCUGUUUAAGGUAGGAAUUAUGCUUGCAACAGGGGGGUAACAACAUAUGCAUGAGUAAACACACACACCCACCCACCCCCACACACACACACAAGUUUUGAGAGGGGAUACUUCUGUGAAACAUGACCUGGGUAUAAACCAUCAUGACUGAGUUUUGGCUGAGCGACGCCAUUUAUUUGCCAUGAUACAUGUGACCAAUGUGCAUUGUUUGAUGUUUAAAUGUGACAUUGACAGUUUAUCGAGUGUUUGUUUUACUGGUUGGGUAAAGGUAGGGAGAAGAGUUAUUUCUCACAGGUGGUGGCUAAGAACUCAGGCACAGUUAUGAGGAAGGUCUGGUCCUUACUUUGGGGACUUCCAAAUGUCAUUUAGAAACUAAAAAAAAAAAAAAAAAAAAA